rnacentral:rRNA from 1 species
AUGCGUAUGUUGAGAUGGAUGUGUGGCCACACGAGGAAGGAUCGAGUCCGGAAUGGUGAUAUACGAGAUAGAGUUGGGGUAGCACCAAUUGAAGAGAAGUUUGUUCAACCUCGUCUGAGAUGGUUUGGGCAGCGCAGGCCUCCAGAAGCUCUAGUGCAUAGCGGAUCGCUAAAGCGUGCGGAGAAUGUCAAGAGAGGUCAGGGUAGACCGAAUUUGACAUGUGAGGAGUUCGUUAAGAGAGACCUGAAGGAUUGGAGUAUCACCAAGGAACUAGCUAUGGACAGGGGUGCGUGGAAGCUUGCUAUGCAUGUACCAGAGCCAGAGUUGGUCGCGAGAUCUUAUGAGUUUCACCUCUAG